rnacentral:rRNA from 1 species
UACAGAGGUCUCGAGCGUUGUUCGGAUUCACUGGGCGUAAAGGGUGCGUAGGUGGCAUGGUAAGUUUGAUGUGAAAUCUCCGGGCUUAACCCGGAAAUGGCAUUGAAUACUACUGUGCUGGAGGUUUGGAGGGGGGACUGGAAUUCUCGGUGUAGCAGUGAAAUGCGUAGAUAUCGAGAGGAACACCAGUGGCGAAGGCGAGUCCCUGGACAACACCUGACACUGAGGCACGAAAGCUAGGGGAGCAAACAGG